UACGAAGGGGGCUAGCGUUGCUCGGAAUGACUGGGCGUAAAGGGCGCGUAGGCGGAUGGCUUUGUCGGGCGUGAAGUUCCAGGGCUUAACCUUGGGUGUGCGUUCGAGACGGGUUGUCUGGAGUGGGGAAGAGGGUCGUGGAAUUCCCAGUGUAGAGGUGAAAUUCGUAGAUAUCGGGAGGAACACCGGUGGCGAAGGCGGCCAUCUGGACGGAUACUGACGCUGAGACGCGAAAGCGUGGGUAGCAAACAGG
rnacentral:rRNA from 1 species